AAGCCAGCCAUCGGACCUUUUCUAGAGCCAUCGAGAUGUUCCUGCACCUCUCGCGAGAAAGAGGCCCGGCAACAAGAUAAACCACCCCCCACCGUCGCAUCUCCUCCUCAACUCAGAGGGAGAAAAAAAACCAGGUCCACUUCCGCUAUUCCCCAACCCUAGCUAUUCCAAUCGUUGCGACGCUUCCGAUUUUCCGCCGGCGACAAAAAAAAAAGAGCAUCGACGAAAGAGUCAUCAAAGUAAAUCCGGCGUCCUGCGUUACUCGUCAGAUUAGCAGCGAUAGAGAGGGCGGCGGCGCAUCGCAUCGAACAACCGGCAGUCCGGCGCCCUUACACUAAAGAUGCAGGCUGCGUUGAUGCUGCACCGGCAGUCACAGACGCGCCCCGGUCGCCGGCGUCUGCCGGCACCGCGCUAGCUCUUCUCCUCACCCGCACCUGUCCAGCUCCUACACGCGGCCGGAGCUAAGCGCUCCUACAGGCGGCACGCAUCUCCACCAAGCUAUCAUGUGCGGUGCAACCCUCGCUCUGGGCCUCCGGGACCUCCGUGGACCCAGCCAUUCCCUUCUCACGCCGUGCAAGAAAGAAAAAAAAAGAAGGGGAAGGAGAGAAUAGAAAUUAUAUGCAGUCCAGAGGAUGAUGAACCGCCAAGCAGUGCCAAGAGAAAAAAGAAAGAUAUAAUAAUCAACUAAAAAUAAAGAGAAGAAGAUGAGCCUCACCUUGCUCGCUCAACUACUUCCAAUACCUGCACAUUGUAGCAGCACCUCAUCCACUUCAGGGUCAAGCAAGCAGGACCCUGCAAGCAUUGUUGCCUGCACCAGCACCACCUCCGCGCAUCCAGUUCCAACUCCAGCUCCAGGUUCUGUAUUGUCCAGCAGAUCUGUUUCUUGCAAAAAGGUAAAUUUUCUUUCCCAUAGUAUAAUCAACUUGCUAAAUUGUGCUUAGCCCAACAUUGUCAUGCUACUAGGCCUCUCGGUGUCCACCCACAUGCUCAAAAUAAUUAAGUACAAAGUCAUUAAUUUGCUACGUUCAUUCUAUUGCUUGCUCAGUCAGAUACCUAGAUUAGAAAUACUGGUUAAAAAUAUACAACUAUUAUAUAGCACGCACUGGUCCUGCAACAAUCAAAUAACAAUAGCAGGAAAAUUGUUCUACAGUUCCAUACAACUAUGGAACCACAUAAUAUGCGGCAAUGCAUAUGGCGAGGUCAAAUAACACCGAAGUGGGAUGUUGGUAACAGCCAUCUCAAAAGAAGAGCUACAUAUCUGGGUGAAGAGUGAAACAGUCAUAGAGCCGGUUCCUACAAAUCAUGAACCCACCUCCAUCUAAACACUCCCCCAUCCACAGGCACAAGAGUAUACUGUUACUCAUCUUAGUGCCUGGAAUCAUAAACAUUCAGAGUUGUGCAGUAAUUCAAAAGUGCAAAUAAAUUUGUGUCUGGAAUUGCUCUUUGGCAUGUAAUCUUCUCUUUAUGUAAGCAUGUUUUCAUAUCAUUUCUAUUCGUGAAAUACAAUUCUUGUGGCUGCUACUA